GUGAGCUGGUUAACACUACUGGUUGGUGUAUCAAAGAGCUAGGAAAUCCCCGUGGGGGCCCGGUGCGCAGUGGCUGCAGACAGCAGCCUCCUUGGUAGUGUAUGCAGCCUGUUGCCUGUAUGGGUUGCCCUAAGGGACCUUGGAGACAGCC
rnacentral:snoRNA from 1 species